GGAGGGUGUAGCUCAAGUGGUAGAGCGUGUGCUCAGCAUACACAAGGUCCUGGGUUCAAUCCCCAGCGCCUCCA
rnacentral:tRNA from 1 species